UUGUCAGUGUUGCUUAUGCCUUUGCUUCCAGUCAUCUGAACCUGAACCCUAGCCUAUACCUGGGGCCUUUCCCAUUUCCUAAAUGUGUACCUCCUCGACUCCUCGAUACUCCAGGCUUGAUUAUUUUACCUCUUCCUGGAUUUUCACCUGUUUCCUGUUCCUGAACUGCUCACCAGCCAUGCCUAUUCUGGAUUUGUUUGACUGUUCGGACUACCUUCCUGUUGCCAACCUGUAAGCCUGUUCCUGACCUUCGCUUAGUUUAACUUCUCAUCUUGCUGCAGUGAUGAUCACUGUUGGGUGGGCCGCAACAGAUCGCACUUCUGACUGAAACAUGAGUGAAACUUUAAGCCAAAGAGGGAAGCGAACAUUCCUUUUCAGUCUGGUGUUAAGUUGCUCUUUAUUACAUUUGUUAAUGCUUUCUGGUCGACAAACGUAAUUUAGACACUAUUUCUAAACUAUCUCAAACAUAUUAAAACAGGCAUGUUUUAAUUAUUUGGCCAUGAAGAUAUUAAAGGCUUUAUAAACUUUG